UCAAAGUGAAAUAGUCUAGCUGGUACAGGAGUUUGGAUGAUAUGAUUAUGUGUUCAAGACAAACUUAGAUAACAUUGAUUACAUCAGAAGCCGAGUUAGAUCAUACUAGAAGUCUUGAAGAAGUCAAGUUGAUCAAGGAGUUCAGUAAGAAGAGGAUUUGAAUUAAAAGAAUCCUAUCAAAACUAGGAGAGGUGAGGUGGCAGCAAAAGGGAAAAAAAUUAACUGAUAG
rnacentral:lncRNA from 1 species